UGUAGGAGCGAGCCUGCUCGCGAAAGCGUUUUGUCAGCCAACAUCGUUGCUGACUGACACGGCCUCUUCGCGAGCAGGCUCGCUCCUGCA
rnacentral:misc_RNA from 1 species